ACAAGAGCCAGUGAGACCUUUGUUGGCAGCAGGGACCAUGCAUCAUCUGACCCUGGAGAUGCUUGAGGCUGGGCUGCUGGGGAAGAAGCUUUAUGAAGCAAAAGUGUUGGUGAAGUCAUGGUUGAACUUUAAGGAGUUGCACGAGUUAAAGCGUGUCUGUGAUGAUGGCCCUACCAUUACUCCCUCCUAUUUUUGUUGCAAAUAAGAUAAGUAUGAAUCUGGAUGGAGGAAGUUUCUAGAGAUGAUCCAGGAGUUCAGAAUGUUUGCUGAUC